AACGAACGCUGGCGGCAGGCUUAACACAUGCAAGUCGAACGCCCCGCAAGGGGAGUGGCAGACGGGUGAGUAACGCGUGGGAACAUACACUUUUCUACGGAAUAGCUCUGGGAAACUGGAAUUAAUACCGUAUACGCCCUACGGGGGAAAGAUUUAUGGGGGAAGGAUUGGCCCGCGUUGGAUUAGCUAGUUGGUGGGGUAAAGGCCUACCAAGGCGACGAUCCAUAGCUGGUCUGAGAGGAUGAUCAGCCACAUUGGGACUGAGACACGGCCCAAACUCCUACGGGAGGCAGCAGUGGGGAAUAUUGGACAAUGGGCGCAAGCCUGAUCCAGCCAUGCCGCGUGAGUGAUGAAGGCCUUAGGGUUGUAAAGCUCUUUCACCGAUGAAGAUAAUGACGGUAGUCGGAGAAGAAGCCCCGGCUAACUUCGUGCCAGCCGCCGCCGUAAUAC
rnacentral:rRNA from 1 species